UACCGAAGCUUCUGUUGUUUCUGCUGGGACUUCUGUUGUUGUGUUGGGCUGUUCUGGUGUACUAGUUUCGACCUCAGGUUGAGUACUCGACUCUACCGAAGCUUCUGUUGUUUCUACUAUAACUUCAGUGCUUGUGUUGGGCUGUUCUGGUACUGGUGUGCUUACUUCUAGUGUACUAGUUUCGAUCUCAGGUUGAGUAGUAGACUCUACCGAAGCUUCUGUUGUUUCUACUGGCACUUCAGUGCUUGUGUUAGGCUGUUCUGGUAGUGGUGUGCUUACUUCUAGUGUACUAGUUUCGACCUCAGGUUGAGUAGUAGACUCUACCGAAGCUUCUGUUGUUUCUACUGGCACUUCAGUGCUUGUGUUAGGCUGUUCUGGUAGUGGUGUGCUUA